rnacentral:precursor_RNA from 15 species
CACAUCCCGCGUUGCUGGUGUUUCCUCGUGUUACGUAUACUGAAGGUAUACCGGAUAGGAUACACUCAGGAUACAUUCAGUAUACGUAUACGAAGUUGCACAGGCUCAACAAUUCGCUCC